GGAUAUACUGAAAUAAAGAAGUAGAAUUCAUUAGUUGGCUAUUGCAGAGAAAGCUCAUUUACUAGUUUAUAAAAUUCACAUGCACACACACAGAGAAAAGCUUUAAAAUACUUGUAACUAAGUAAAAAAGAUAACUCUGUAGAAAACUAUAAUUGCAGAAAAGUACAUUCCUUUUUGAGAAAUUACUCUGGCCAGAUGUUCUUUCUAAUGCCAACCCAUAUCUGUUUUUCAAGGCAUAUUUUUUUUCUUCUACAGGUCUUCAAAGGCUCAGAGUGAUUGAUUGUAAUGUCAACAAAGAAUGAAAACAUCAUCUCACUGGUUGUGAUUAGUGAAGUUGCGGGAUAUCAAUAUUCACACACACAUAUCAUCAUCAUUUAGCAUCUGCUUUCCUUGUUGGCAUGGGUUAGGACAUUAGACUGAAACUGGACGUCCGUAUACUACAAACCAACCUUCACUGGACAAUUCCUCAACUUCAAUUCCUACCAUCCAUACAGUAUAAAGAGAGGGAUUGCUCAGUGCAUAAAACAUCAAGCAAAGACUAUAAGUAGUGAUCCUGAUACACACCAGGAAGAAAUGAUCAGGCUAAGAAACAAUCUGCUAUGCAACAACUACCCAAAGAAUAUACUAUCCAGUCUGAUGAGGAAGAGGAUGAAACCCAUAAACUGAGCAGUCUGGCUACCCUAUGUCAAAGGCCUCACGUAAAAGAUACAAAAGAUAUCCAUUCUAUAUGACAUCAGAACAGUAUUCAGGAGUAAUACAACACUUCACAAAUAUCUUCUCCAAGUAAAACCACC